AGAUUGAACGCUAGCGGCAUGCCUAACACAUGCAAGUCGAACGGGUAACAGGCCCUUCGGGGUGCUGACGAGUGACGGACGGGUAGAGUAACACGUGAGCAACCUGCCCUCAUGCCCGGGAUAACACCGCGAAAGUGGUGCUAAUACCGGAUACGCUCCUCUGGUCGCAUGGCCGGAGGAGGGAAGGGGAAACCCGCAGGAGGAGGGGCUCGCGGCCCAUUAAUGGCGCACCAAGGCGACGAUGGGUAGCCGGCCUGAGAGGGUGAACGGCCACACUGGGACUGAGAUACGGCCCAGACUCCUACGGGGCGGCAGC
rnacentral:rRNA from 1 species